GCCCGUGUGGUGUAGUGGUUUGCAUUCCACGAGGUAGAGACCGAUAGCUUGAAUUAGCUAAUGUUGUACUACCACCCUCACUACACUCGUGGGGCCCAGGUUCGAUUCCUGGCACGGGCA